UACGGGGGGGGCAAGCGUUGUUCGGAAUUACUGGGCGUAAAGGGCUCGUAGGCGGCCAACUAAGUCCGACGUGAAAUCCCAAGGCUUAACCUUGGAACUGCGUCGGAUACUGGAUGGCUUGAAUUCGGGAGAGGGAUGCAGAAUUCCAGGUGUAGCGGUGAAAUGCGUAGAUAUCUGGAGGAAUACCGGUGGCGAAGGCGGGUCUCUGGGCAAUUCCUGACGCUGAGGCGCGAAAGCGUGGGGAGCAAACGGG
rnacentral:rRNA from 1 species